rnacentral:rRNA from 1 species
UAUNGGACAAUGGGGGGAACCCUGAUCCAGCNACGCCGCGUGAGUGAAGAGGUAUCUCGGUAUGUAAAGCUCUAUCAGCAGGGAAGAAGAAAUGACGUUACCAGAGGAAGAAGCCCCGGCUACCUACGUGCCAGCAGCCGCGGUAAUACGUAGGGGGCAAGCGUUAUCCGGAAUUACUGGGUGUAAAGGGAGCGUAGACGGUGAUGUAAGUCUGGAGUGAAAGGCGGGGGCCCAACCCCCGGACUGCUCUGGAAACUAUGUGACUGGAGUGCAGGAGAGGUGAGCGGAAUUCCUAGUGUAGCGGUGAAAUGCGUAGAUAUUAGGAGGAACACCAGUGGCGAAGGCGGCUCACUGGACUGUAACUGACGUUGAGGCUCGAAAGCGUGGGGAGCAAACAGG